rnacentral:tRNA from 1 species
AUUUAAGUAGUUUAAUAAAAAAAAUGUUGAUUUGUGGAAUCAAAGAUAUAAGUAUUUAUCUUAAAUA